AGGGGCAAAUGGGGUGGAGAGCUGGGUCUGAUCCACGGCAGUGAUGGAAGCCAUGGAAGUGGUGCUUAGAACCGAAUGGGGGCCUAUGAUGCUGCUUUUCUUGGUCACCGUGGCCAUCGCCGGCAUGAUGGCGGCCACCAUGGCUACCGCCUACACGGGGAGGAUGGCCAUCGCCUCCAUGGGGACGAGGGCCACAGGGACGGGAUGGUUGGCCAUUGCCUCCGGAGGGAGGGGGGCCAUUGCCACCGAAGGGAGGCAAUAUGCAUCCAAGGAGAGGUCUGCCAGCGCCUACAUGGGGAGGAUGGCCACCCACAUGAUGCCUGCAUAUGGGCUCUUGCUCACCAGGGCCAAGGGCAGUCGUGUUCUGUUCAGAACAGAGCCAACAGAGUUAGUUGAAGUGUAUUUC